UGCCGGAGAGGCCCUUUGCCCGAAGAUGCAAGAGGAUUGGGAUAUAAGGUUCCUGCUUACUUCAUUGCUGCUAGCGUCGGCGAGAAGAAAAGAUGGCGAAAAGAAGGAAAGGAUCAUGGGAAAAGCCCUUAUAAGGUCGUGGGAAAGCAAUCUCCUCCCACAAUUCUCUUCCCUAACCCCGGCGUUCGGUGAUGACGUCACCUCGCCGGGGAGACACGUCUAGAGUUCCCCGGUGGCCGUCUGCCUCUGGAGUAACUGCGCUAGAGGCCGUUAAGGCUCUACAGGCGGGGAGGGAGGGACAGGCAGGCAGUUGCUUUCUGAGUCAUUCUGUCGUCUCUCCUAGAGCUUCGUCCUACUGCAGGGAACGUGAGUCCAGCCACAAGAACUCAAAAUGGGUAGAGUAGGAAAUUUCCUUCUUCUGGACACUCUCUAUAUAAGCAACGCACCCUAAAAAGUUCUGCAAAUAGGUGGUUGAAGAGAUUUAAAAAGUCCAACAAGGUGGCUGACUGAUAUUAAGAAAGCUGCACAUAUGUUGGAAACAAUCUCAAGAAUGAAUGAAUAGAGAUAUGAAUGGAGUUGAAAAACCAAAGAAGCAAAGGGAAGGAAUUUGACAGCCUGACCAACUCUGACCAGCUGUUGAGAGUGUCUGGUAUACUUAGAAGACUUUGUCUAAAUAGACUACAGGCAGAUGGAUACCUCAGCUUCCAUGGUUUUUGAACUUGACUCUGACAUCUAUCUAACUUUCUUUGUUUUAAAUUACUGGUGAUAAAAUUGUUUGAUCACUUAAAAAAAAAUCUUUCUGGAAUAGUCCUGGCUUCUACAAGCUCCACAAGGCAGAGCUGGAUGUGAGUAGAGGGUGGAGCCAAGAUCUACCUGCAGGAUUUUGGAUCUGUUUACUUCACAGAACCCCAGAAUUUAUAGUCCCUUCCCAAGCAUUUUAGGAAGAUUUUGUUCUGUCGGUCCUCGAAAUUAUUUUUGGUCUAACUCCGUGGAGGAAAAGCAGGAGACUCGGUCUUAUGGAUUUUAGCUCUUUUACUCUUUCCUAGAGCUGGCAUUUCAGGGUUCUUUAUAACACUUUGUAUGUAUCACACCUUACAUUGUGUUCAAACACUCUUAUAAUAAGAAGAAAUUAUACAGAAACCCCUAAAAGCAUUUUAUAUAGUGUCAUAAAGCACAGUUUCCAACACCAUCCAUAAAUUUUUGCAGACUUUAUCCUUUCUCUUUCAUAGGCAAAAGACAGCUUCACUCCAAAAUUGGUGCUUUUCUGGGCGUCUAUAUACUUCCUGAGAACAGAGCAUUCUCUUCACUGUUUCUUCACCUUUUAUACAUAGUCUCCUGCUGUAUUAGUUUCCUGUGGUUGCUGUAACAAAUAACCACAAACUUGAUGGCUUAAAACAUGACAAAUGUAUUCUCUUAUGGGUCUAGAGGCUGGAAGUCUGAAAUCAGUAUCACUAGGCUGAAGUCAAGCGAUCUGUGCUCCCUCCGGAGGCUCUGGGAUAGAACAUGUUUCUUGCUCUUCCAGUUUCCGCCCAGAUAAACCCUCUUGAAUUCCUAACCCAUAAAAACGUUCCCGACCAGGGAUUGAACCUGUGCCCCCUGAAGUGAAGCUCGGAAUCCUAAUCAUUGGACCGCCAGGGAAUUACCGUAACUAUUAUUUAAAAAAAACAGGAAACUAAAUAAAUUUUGAACACUAGUUAAUGAAAUACUUGUUGAAGUAUAUAGGGAGAUACAUCAAAAAACGAGAUGGAUGGAGGGGAGGGAUAGAUAUGUGAUAAAAUAAGUAUAAUAAAAUGUUGAUAAGAGAAUCAAAGUGGUGGGUUUAUGAGUGUUCCCUGUAAAGUUCUUUCAAAUUUUCUGUAUGUUGGAAAUGUUUCAUAAUAAAAUUUUGGCUAAAUGAAGGGAGCCAUCUCCUGGAAGAAACUGGUAUUACCGAUUGGCUCAAAAAUGCAAGAGGAACGAAGCAUGGUAUUUAUAUGAUUCAGAAUGCAAUAACUGCUUAGUACUGUUCACAUACUCUAUUGGUUCUCACGCAUGUGCCCAAGCUGUCUUCUUUGGCUGGAAUCUUUCCUCCCUUUCACUGGCUAAUUUCCUACUCAGAUUUUAUUUCCUCCAGAACAGAGGUUUGGAAAUAUUAAGUGUUUUAGGCUUCAUGGGCUAAGAGGCAAAAUUGAGAAUAUUUAUAUAAGUAUUUCUAUAACAAGAGAGAAAACCAAUUUCCACAAUAUAUCCAUUGACAAAAUUUAAAAUAUAAUAAUAUUGAGUACGUUUUUGUAAAACAGAUCUACUAAAGAAAAGAAUGAAAUUCUUUUUGGGGAGGGGGAGGAUAACAUUUCUCUUAACAUUUCCCUAUCAUCAAAAUCAAUUGCAAAUAUUAAUCUGUUAAUCCUGAUCUCUAAUGAGAUUUUACAACUUUUGUCUUUGAAAAAUGUCUUUUCACCCUGACAAAUACUGCCAUCAAUCCAAGGACAUAUGAUUUAAAUUGAACAUAUUAAUCUCUUGGAAGGCAAUUAUAGAAUUAGACUAUUUUCUUGAUAUUUUCCUUUUAGCAUGUCAGAUUAAUUAUUUCCAAUUGAAAGUUAAGUGAAAGCUCCAAAAUGCACAGUUAAAUUGGUCUUGAAACAUGGAAAUUUUCUUUGCAUUUGCAUUGAGGUCUCAACAACACUACUAAAACUGUAAUUUGAGCUCGAAAAAUAUAACCACUGCAAAUUUGUUUGAGAAUGGACAGCUUCCUUUUUAACUUUUGAAUCAAAUAACGUUAGUGAUUAUUGAAAUGACUUUACCACAGAAUAAGUUUUGCAUGUAAGUGCUGCAUUGUCCUUAGCUUGAGUUUGUUAAGAAGCAUCAUCACAUGAUCAAAAUUAGCAAAAAACGAAUCCUAAAGCCAUUCAAUAAGUGUUCCAAAAUAGUGGUUAAGGGAGGUUCUUUUCAUUUGAAAAAAUUUCAAUCUUGGCCCUGAGCUAAAAAAAAUUAAUAAUAAUAAUAAAAUGAUACCACUGGUAAGUCAUCAAACACUGUGUGGUAGGGCAAGUCAGGAUAUUCAGCUGCUAUUUCUGACAAAAAUUCAUGGGCUGAUGAUGGUAAACCCAUAAGAACAAAUGAAGUUUAUUGUUGACACCACUGGCUCAACACGUGGUGGAUUCAAAUGUUUUCCACAAAGAAUCUGCUAAUUAAUAAUACAAUGAUGUUAUAACCAUAGGCUUUACACCUUACAUUUUCACAAGUGUUGUAAAUCUGUCAAACUAAGGCUUUUUCUACCUUUUUAAAACAGAAGAUUCCACUUAGGUGUAUUGAAUUAGUGUUUUCUCAACUUCUUUAAAAAUAUUCUCACCUGUUCAAUACAGCCUAUUCAUAAAGGCUAAUUCUAAAGUCACUUGAAAAAUUGACUCCUUGAAUAAACAGAACAAAGGAGCAGUUUCAAUAACACCUGUCAACUCAUUAAGAGCCAAGGAAAACGAUUCAAAAUAAUUAGGCUUCACUAAAUAAUUUAAAUUGACUAUUGAUGUUCCCAGUGUGCUCAACACUUAAAGCAGCUGUUCUUACCUAAAGGCUAAUGAUCUUAAACAAGUUUAUUUUUUCUGGAUACAUUUCUUCAGCUGCUGCAGUCAAACAUCAUUUAAUUAACACACCAUAAGUAAAUGACUUUCCUUGCUUGCCUAACAAAUGAGCCACUUGGAAAUUACUUUGGUUGCAGCCUAAUUUUCUUUCUCUCUCUCUUUUUUUUUUUUGGUGAAGAAAUUUUACAAUGAUGAGAUAUUCUAUUUACUUUUUCUAACUUUUCUGUUUUCUGUGAUUUGAAUAUUGUAAUGACUGCUCAGUCUGGUAAUGUCGACAUAUAUUGUAUUCUUUUAGCAUAUAGGUUCACUGCGUAAUAAACAUAAUGCUUUGCCAUCUAAUUUGUUAACAAAAUAAUCUGCAGUUCACAGUAUCUUAAAGAUGGAAUAUUUUGGGCUUCCCUGGUGGCACAGUGGUUGAGAGUCCGCCUGCCAAUGCAGGGAACACGGGUUCGUGCUCUGGUCCGGGAAGAUCCCAUAUGCCGUGGAGCGGCUGAGCCCGUGAGCCAUGGACGCUGAGCCUGCGCGUCCAGAGCCUGUGCUCCGCAACGGGAGAGGCCACAGCAGUGAGAGGCCCGCGCACCGCAAUAAAAAAAAAAGGUGGAAUAUUUUAAGCUUACCAUUUUCUUUUUUUUUGUUUUGACAUGAUAGGUAUAUGCUGGUCAUAAAACUAAUAAUAAAAUGUCACAGUAUGGCGAUACACAUGGCACAUGAAAUGCUGUCAAGUAAAAAUGUGUUACUGUGGGCUUCCCUGGUGGCGCAGUGGUUGAGAGUCCGCCUGCCGAUGCAGGGGACACGGGUUCGUGCCCCGGUUCGGGAGCCCCGGUCCGGGAGGAUCCCCCAUGCCGCGGAGCGGCGGGGCCCGUGAGCCAUGGCCGCUGAGCCUGCGCGUCCGGAGCCUGUGCUCCGCAGCGGGAGAGGCCACAGCAGUGAGAGGCCCGCGUACCGCAAAAAAAAAAAAAAAAAGUGUUACUGUGAUUUGUAGUGUGUAGCAGCACUAAUAAGAGCUCAGAAUGCUACAUAUGGUCUCAGUCAUGAGGACUCCGUUAUUGUAGUGUAAAAGCAGCUGUAGACAAUAGGUAAAUAAAUAUGACUGUAUUCCAAUGAAAUUUUAUUUAUGGACACUGAAAUAUGAAUUUCAUAUAAUUUUGUCAUAAAAUGUUACUAUUAUUUUUUCCCCAGUCACUUAAAAUGUAAAAACCAUAUUAGCUGUAGGCUGUACAAAAUUAGGCACCAGGCUGGAUUCAGCCCAUAGUCUGUAGUUUGCCAACCUUUGCUAGAGAAUAUCUAUGUAAAGUAGACGUUUCAGUUGAUUAUUUCAUUUGAGUUUAUUAUUUCAUGGAAGGAAAUUUAUAUUUUAUUUUUUAAAAAUGUUAUUGGAGUAUAGUUGAUUUAUAAUGUUGUAUUAGUUUCAGGUGUACAACAAAGUGAAUCACUUGUACAUAUACAUAUAUCCAUUCUUUUUUAGAUUCUUUUCCCAUAUAGGUCAUUACAGAAUAGAGUUCCCUGUGCUAUACAGUAGGUCAUUAUUGGUUAUCUAUUUUAUAUAUAGUAGUGAAACAGGAGGGAAGGGGGUAGGGCACAACCUUUAAAACAAUGAUACAGCCAUAGGACAUGACAAAGACUGGUUAGAACCAACUGAGUCCAAGAUGGCAGAAGAUUUGACUUCCAGUAGACCUUGAGCCUCAUUAUAUACUCAUUGUAAUACGUUAGCAUGCUAAAUGACACACCCACCGGCGUGACAGUUCUGAGGCCAACCAUAAGAGGUCAAAAAGUGGGCGCUGGCCCAAUUCCUGGAAAUUCCCACCCCUUCCCCGAAAUAAUUGGAAUAAUCCUCCCACUCAUUAGCCUAUGAAAUUACCCAACCCAUAAAAACUUACCACAGCAUAUUUCGAGGCUCAUUCGCCUUCUGAGAUGGUCCACACUUUGUCUGUGGAGUGUGUUUCUUUCUAAAUAAAUCCAUUUCUUACCUAUCACUUCAUCUCUGAAUUCUUUUGUGCUGAGGCAAGAAGAGUAGUGUGUAUAUGUCGAUCCCAAGGGAAUUUGUAUUUUAGCUUAAAGAGAUUAUUAAUAUUCUUUCUGUAUUAUAGACUUUGUGUUGUAGUUAAAUGUGAAAAUCUUAGUGAUUUCAAAGUUUUGAAAGUACAAUUUCAGAAGAGAAAGAUUUAACACAUAUACUUGAAUUCCUCAGUGUAGUAAUAUACUUUAUAUAUUUCUGUUCGACAAUAUCCUCUCUUAACUGGAAAGGAAGAAAAGGUAAAUUUCUUAAAAGUGCAUGAGAUAACCAAAAAUAGGUCACAGGGAAAUUUACAAACAUAUUACCUGAAAAUAGCAGUCUCAAAUCUAUGUGCAGUAUACAUCCAUUUUUGUUAAAAAAAAAAUACGGGAGGCAGGGAAUCUAGAUAUAGUCCCAUAGAUAAAAAUAGAUUAAAAGGAAACACAACAUGUUAACAGUGACUAUCUCUGCGUAGGGGAAUUACGGAAGAUUGUUAUUUUUACUUUUUUGCUUGCCUAUAUUUUCUAAGAUUUUUACAGUAACAUGUUUUUAAAGUUGGCGCAUGCUACAUUAUUUUAAAAUAGAAAAUAUAUCCUGAAGGACAAAGAGAACAUCUAAAGAUAUAUUUAGACUCCUUUAGAGAUUAUUAUUAUUUUAAAAUUUUAUUUUAUUUUUGGCUGAGUUGGGUCUUUGUUGCUGCGUUCAGGCUUUCUCUAGCUGCGGAGAGCGGGGGCUACUCUGUUGCCAUGCGAGGGCUUAUUGUGGUGGCUUUUCUUGUUGUGGAGCAUGGGCUCUAGGCGCUUGGGCUUCAGCAGAUGCAGCACGUGGGCUCAAUAGUUGCGGCACAUGGGACCUAGAGCAUGUGGGCCUCAGUAAUUGCUCUGAAGCAUGUGGGAUCUUCCCGGACCAGAGAUCGAACCUGUGUCCCCUGCAUUGGCAGGUGGAUUCUUAACCACUGCACCACCAGGGCAGUCCCUGGAGAUUAUUUUUUGCAAAUUAAAUUAGGUUUGAAAACUUGUGUAACAUUCUGUGUACAAGCAACUGUGUAGGAAAGCUAUUCUGAUAAUUACUGUAGCUAGAUCACUUAUAUCAGCUACACUGCUGUAUGCCAUAUAUGAGAGACACAUAAUUCACUGAUACUCUGAAUUUUCUUUCUCUUCAGAGAAAUUUUUUUCAGAACUGACUAAAUUUUUCAUACCUCUAUCUGAUGUCAAUGGAGCCCCAAAUGAGGUGGACCAUCACAUAUAAUCACAAAAUGAAGCCUUUAGUAUUUAAAAGCUACUUGGAAUUUGGUUACCUCUCUGCCUCCUGUAUUAGCCAGGGUUCUCCAGAGAAACAGAACCAAUAGUAUAUAUAUAUAGAUAUAGAUAUAGAUAUAGAUAUAUAGAUAGAUAUAGAUAUAGAUAUAGAUAGAUAUAUAGAUGAAGAGAUUUAUUUUAAGGAACUGGCUGACAUGAUUGUGAAGGCUGGGGUUUCCAAAAUCUGCAGGGUGGACUGGCAGGUUGGAAACUCAGCAAGGAGCCAGUGUUGCGGUUCAAGUCCAAAGACUGCCUGAGAAUUCCACGCUGUUCCAGGGAGGUCAGUCUAUUGUUAUAUCUAGAUCCUCAGCUGAUUGGAUGAGGCUGACCCACAUUAUGGAGGGCAAUCUGCUUUACUCAAAAUCUACCAAUUUAAAUGUAAAUCUUAUCCGAAACACCCUCACAGAAGGCAUUCAAAAUAAUGUUUGAUGAUAUAUCUGGGCACUGUGGCCGAGCCAAGUUGACACAUGAAAUUAACCAUUAUACCACUUUUUUCUCUUUUUUUUUUUUGGCUGCAUUGGGUCUUAGUUGCAACACGUUGGAUCUUCAUUGAGGUGUGCGGGAUCUUUCAUUUCGGUGCGCGGGCUUCUCCAGUUGUGGUGCAUGGGCUUCUCUGUAGCUGUGGCGUGUGGGUUUUCUCUCUAGUUGUGGUGUGUAGGCUCCAGGGCAUGUGGGCUCUGUAGUUUGCAGCACGCAGGCUCUCUCGUUGAGGUGCAUGAGCUCAGUAGUUGUGGCGUGCGGGCAUAGUUGCCCUGCGGCAUAUGGAAUCUUAGUUCCCUGACCAGGGAUCAAACCCAAGUCCCCUGCAUUGGAAGGCAGAUUCUUUACCACUGGACCACCAGAGAAGUCCCUGCACCACUUAUUUUUAAAAAAUGAAUCAUGUUGGGGGGGUGGGGUAGAGAGUAAAACUACCACUCUUAUAAAAAUGAACUUUUUGAGCUUUUAAGCACUCAUAGUGUUCCAAAUAUAAAUUAAAAUUACAAUUUUUUAUUUAAACAUUCACUUAAUUUUGAAUUGGAAAUAUGAUGGAUCACUUAUAUAGGUUUCACUGCCUUUUAGAAGCACUUCAAAAGAGAUGAUGAAAUAAAGCUGUCAAGGAUUCCUUUAUUAUUCUUUUUUUAAAAAAAUAUUUAUUUAUUUAUUUGGUUGCACCGGGUCUUAGUUGUGGCUCCAGGGCUCCUUAGUUGCAGCACGUGGGCUCCUUAGUUGUGACGUGCGAACUCUUAGUUGUGGCAUGCAUGUGGGAUGUGGUUCCCUGACCAGGGGUCGAACACCGGCCCCCCUGCACUCUCCACUACGCCACAAGGGAAGUCCCUCCUUUAUUAUUCUUUUAAACAAAAGUCAUCUUCUUCCCAGUUAGUUAGGCAAAGUCACCUGAAAAGUAUUUCACAGUGCCUUUAUUCUCUUUUUUUUUAAAUAUCUUUAUUGGAGUAUAAUUGCUUUACAAUGGUGUGUUAGUUUUUGCUUUAUAACAAAGUGAAUCAGCUAUACAUAUUCAUAUAUCCCCAUAUCUCUUCCCUCUUGCAUCUCCCUCCCUUCUACCCUCACUAUCCCACCCCUCUAGGUGGUCACAAAGCACCGAGCUGAUCUCCCUGUGCUAUGUGGCUGCUUCCCACUAGCUAUCAGUUUUACAUUUGGUAGUGUAUAUAUGUCCAUGCCACUCUCUCAAUUUGUCCCAGCUUACCCUUCCCCCUCCCCGUGUCCUCAAGUCCAUUCUCUAGUAGGUCUACGUCUUUAUUCCUGUCCUGCCCCUAGGUUCUUCGUGACCAUUUUUUUUUUUUUAGAUUCCAUAUAUAUGUGUUAGCAUAUGGUAUUUGUUUUUCUCUUUGACUUACUUCACUCUGUAUGACAGACUCUAGGUCCAUCCACCUCACUACAAAUAACUCAAUUUCGUUUCUUUUUAUGGCUGAGUAAUAUUCCAUUGUAUAUAUGUGACAGUGGCUUUAUUCUUGAAAUUUAUUUUUACUUUCACCUCUUCUUUUUCUCAGAUAUUAGCUGAUAUGUCAUAUGGGGGGAAAAUAAAAUAAAAUAUUUAGUAUCUCAUCUUGAGAUGGCUAACUCUUCUAAAUUAUUUUGGCCCUGACAUUUCAUGCUAUUUGGGACCAAUUCUUUAAGACUGUUCUGUUGGCCUUCCUGAAAUCUCACUACUUUGGAGAAUGGUGGGCUGGCAGUUUACAUCCAGAGGGGUGGUGGAGACAAUCAUUCACUGGUUCCCCCAAACUAUUUUAUUUUCCUCUCCCAGAGAGAGCUUCCUAUUUGUUCAGCACUAAUCUCUAGACAGAAGCCCAGCUAGAACCUCCUUAUAAUAAUAAAGCAGGGGCUUCCCUGGUGGUGCAGUGGUUAAGAAUCUGCCUGCAAAUGCAGGGGACAGGGGUUUGAGCCCUGCUCUGGGAAGAUCCCACAUGCAGCAGAGCAACUAAGCCCCUGUGCCACAAGUACUGAGCCUGCGCUCUAGAGCCCACAAACCACAACUACUGAAGCCGGCGCGCCUAGAGCCCAUGCUCCGCAAAAAGAGAAGCCACCGCAAUGAGAAGCCUGUGCCCCUCAAUGAGGAGUAGCCCCCUCUCGCUGCAACUAGAGAAAGCCCACGUGCAGCAACAAAGACCCAAUGCAGCUAGAAAUAAAAAUAAAAUAAAAAAUAAUAAGGCAGAGUAGUUAGCCCCUCCAUCCAAAUAUUAUUGUAGAAUUUUAUUACUGAAAUUCUUUCACUGUGGUUCUGAACUUCUUUUUGAUUUACAGACCACUUCGAUAAUUUGAAAGAGCUGCAUCUCCUCUUCUAGAUGAGUGCACAGACAAAACACUUGAAACUAUGUGUAUAACCUUGUGCACUGUUUAGUUUUUAUUAUUGUGUGUGUAACACCUAUUAAAUAAUGAUAACUAAUAAUGAGGAAAGUUAAUGCUCAUUUGGAGCUUCUAGAUAACCCGUGAUGAAAUAAAAUUCAUAUUUUAUGGCAUGACAAGAAAUUUUAAACAUAAAAUUUUCACUGCCCGUUUGGGCCUCCUUUAGUGUGUAUUGUGCAUCUGCAUUAACCAGACCUCCUUAGGAGAUAACCUUCCUUCUUAAUCUCACACAAGGUCACAACUCCUUAGAAGAUAACCUUCCCUCUUAAUCUUGUAAGGGGCCACGAUGGCCCCCAGUGAGUACAAAGUACUCGCUUUGUACUGUAGAUAUGGACUGUGUAAACUGUCAAUAAUACCUAAUUUGUCUCAAAAACUUAUAUAACUUUAGGGGAAACACUGGUUGACACCACCCACCCUGGCCAGGCACCACAGUAACCAUUUGAAUGAGUUAUCUUAAACAGGAUGACCUGGUAAAGAACAUGGAAUUAACGAGCCACCACCAACUGGAAGAAUUUGGGAAAGGUCAAAAGGAGACACAAGUCCACGUGUCCUACCGACCUCCCAGAAUCCUCCUCGCUGGAAUCCAUCUUGGCUGAGUGAUGCGUGCACCACCAGGAAGGACCCUGAGUCAGAAUGAUUGGCCAGAGACAACCUGGAAACUAAUUCUAUCACCAUAAAAGCCGAGAUUAGGAGCCACAUGGCAGAGUAGUUCUCCUGGGUUCCCUUACCCUCCUGCUCUCCACCUGGGUGCCCCUUCCCAAUAAAGUCUCCUGCUUUGUCAACAUGUGUGUCUCCUCGGACAAUUCAUUUCCAAGUGUUAGACAAGAGCCCUCUCUCAGGCCCUGGAAGAGGUCCCCCUUCCUGCAACAUAACCAUGCUUUGACCUCUAAUGGACAGAAGAGUCCUCAGAGCUUUUUGGGUUACAAUCAUCAGGUUGACUGGAAUAAAAUUUUCCACUUCUUUCUUA